rnacentral:misc_RNA from 1 species
UUCUUUCGGUUUCCAUUUUGAUGAUGACGAUAAACCCCGUGAAGAGUGUGGUGUUGUGGGUAUCUAUGGCGACCCAGAAGCCUCUCGUCUUUGCUAUUUAGCUCUUCAUGCUUUGCAGCAUCGAGGCCAAGAAGGUGCUGGUAUUGUUGCUGUAAAUAAUAAUGUUCUGCAAUCUAUUACCGGUGUUGGGUUAGUUUCUGAUGUCUUUAACGAAUCAAAACUUGAUCAGUUACCUGGUGAUUUAGCCAUAGGACAUGUCAGAUAUUCUACUGCAGGGUCUUCUAUGCUUAAAAAUGUUCAACCUUUUGUUGCUGGGUACCGGUUUGGGUCUGUUGGGGUUGCUCACAAUGGGAAUUUAGUGAAUUAUAGGAAAUUGAGGGCUACCCUUGAAGAUUCUGGUUCCAUUUUUAAUACUAGUUCUGAUACUGAGGUUGUUUUGCAUUUGAUUGCGAUUUCCAAGGCUAGGCCUUUCUUUCUGAGGAUUGUUGAUGCAUGCGAGAAGUUAGAAGGCGCCUAUUCUAUGGUGUUUGCGACAGAGGAUAAAUUGGUUGCUGUAAGGGACCCUCAUGGUUUUAGGCCUUUGGUUAUGGGGAGAAGAAGUAAUGGUUCUAUUGUGUUUGCUUCUGAGACUUGUGCUCUUGAUUUGAUUGAAGC